GCCCAGAGUCUGAAUCAGCUUGUGUGUUAGUGGAACGGUCUGGAAAGUCCGACGGUACAGGGUGAUAGUCCCGUACACCAAAAUGCACAGGUUGUGAACUCGAAGAGUAGGGCGGGACACGUGGUAUCCUGUCUGAAUAUGGGGGGACCAUCCUCCAAGGCUAAAUACUCCUGACUGACCGAUAGUGAACCAGUACCGUGAGGGAAAGGCGAAAAGAACCCCGGCGAGGGGAGUGAAAAAGAACCUGAAACCGUGUACGUACAAGCAGUGGGAGCACCUUCGGGUGUGACUGCGUACCUUUUGUAUAAUGGGUCAGCGACUUAUAUUCUGUAGCAAGGUUAACCGUAUAGGGGAGCCGCAGGGAAACCGAGUCUUAACUGGGCGUUAAGUUGCAGGGUAUAGACCCGAAACCCGGUGAUCUAGCCAUGGGCAGGUUGAAGGUUGGGUAACACUAACUGGAGGACCGAACCGACUAAUGUUGAAAAAUUAGCGGAUGACUUGUGGCUGGGGGUGAAAGGCCAAUCAAACCGGGAGAUAGCUGGUUCUCCCCGAAAGCUAUUUAGGUAGCGCCUCGUGAACUCAUCUUCGGGGGUAGAGCACUGUUUCGGCUAGGGGGUCAUCCCGACUUACCAACCCGAUGCAAACUACGAAUACCGAAGAAUGUUAUCACGGGAGACACACGGCGGGUGCUAACGUCCGUCGUGAAGAGGGAAACAACCCAGACCGCCAGCUAAGGUCCCAAAGUCAUGGUUAAGUGGGAAACGAUGUGGGAAGGCACAGACAGCCAGGAUGUUGGCUUAGAAGCAGCCAUCAUUUAAAGAAAGCGUAAUAGCUCACUGGUCGAGUCGGCCUGCGCGGAAGAUGUAACGGGGCUAAACC
rnacentral:rRNA from 1 species